rnacentral:misc_RNA from 1 species
GAUGAAGAACGCAGCGAAAUGCGAUAAGUAAUGUGAAUUGCAGAAUUCAGUGAAUCAUCGAAUCUUUGAACGCACAUUGCGCCCGCCAGUAUUCUGGCGGGCAUGCCUGUUCGAGCGUCAUUUCAACCAUCAAGCCCCAGGCUUGUGUUGGGGACCUGCGGCUGCCGCAGGCCCUGAAAACCAGUGGCGGGCUCGCUGUCACACCGGGCGUAGUAGAUUUUAUCUCGCUCAGGGCGUGCUGCGGGUCCCGGCCGUUAAAAGCCUUUAUUUACCCAAGGUUGACCUCGGAUCAGGUAGGAAGACCCGCUGAACUUAAGCAUAUCAAUAAGCGGAGGA